rnacentral:rRNA from 1 species
AUCGAACGCUGGCGGCAGGCUUAAUACAUGCAAGUCGAGCGAGCGGCGGACGGGCGGGCAAUGUCUUGGAACCUGCCUGACCGAGGGGGAUAACUACUGUAACCGGUAGCUAAUACUGCAUACGAUCAGUUGUGCUCAGAUUGGAUUAGCUAGUAGGGGGGGUAAUGGCUCACCUAGGCGACGAUCCCCACCUGGUCUGAGAGGGGGACCGGCCAAACUGGAACUGAGACACGGUCCAGACUCCUACGGGAGGCAGCAGUAGGGAAUAUUAGGCAAUGGACGCAAGCCUGAUGCAGCCAUGCCGCGUGAGUGAAGAAGGCCUUCGGGUUGUAAAGCUCUGUCGUCAGAGAAGCGUUACUCACACAGAAAGCACCGGCUAACUACGUGCCAGCAGCCGCGGUAAUAC